GUUAGGAAUAUUGGACAAUGGGCGAAAGCCUGAUCCAGCCAUGCCGCGUGAACGAUGAAGGCCUUCGGGUUGUAAAGUUCUUUAGCCGAUGAUUAUAAUGACUGUAGUCGGAAAAUAAGCCCCGGCUAACUUCGUGCCAGCAGCCGCGGUAAUACGAAGGGGGCGAGCGUUAUUCGGAAUCACUGGGCGUAAAGCGUGCGUAGGCGGUUUUGUAAGUUAGGAGUGAAAGCCCAGGGCUCAACCUUGGAAUUGCUCUUAAAACUGCAAGGCUCGAAUCUCGGAGAGGAUAGCGGAAUUACCAGUGUAGCAGUGAAAUGCGUAGAUAUUGGAAGGAACACCAGUGGCGUAAGCGGCUAUCUGGACGAGUAUUGACGCUGAGGCACGAAAGCGUGGGGAUCAAACAGGAUUAGAAACCCGUGUAGUCC
rnacentral:rRNA from 1 species